rnacentral:rRNA from 1 species
CCUACGGGUGGCAGCAGUAGGGAAUAUUGCUCAAUGGGGGAAACCCUGAAGCAGCAACGCCGCGUGGAGGAUGAAGGUUUUCGGAUUGUAAAAUCCUUUUGUUAGAGAAGAUAAUGACGGUAUCUAACGAAUAAGCACCGGCUAAUUCCGUGCCAGAAGCGGCGGUAAUACGGAGGGUGCAAGCGUUACUCGGAAUCACUGGGCGUAAAGAGCGCGUAGGCGGGAUAGCAAGUCAGAUGUGAAAUCCUAUGGCUUAACCAUAGAACUGCAUUUGAAACUGUUAAUCUAGAGUAUGGGAGAGGUAGGUGGAAUUCUUGGUGUAGGGGUAAAAUGCGUAGAGAUCAAGAGGAAUACUCAUUGCGAAGGCGACCUGCUAGAACAUAACUGACGCUGAUGCGCGAAAGCGUGGGGAGCAAACAGGAUUAGAUACCCCAGUAGUC